rnacentral:lncRNA from 1 species
GGUAGUCCUAUACAUGCCAUUUUCAGAGUUCAACCAAAAGUGUACCAAAAGGGCUUUGAUAGUGUGGGCGACUUCGACUUCAAUAAUCUCGAGUCCGAUAGCUGACGAACCAAAAUCUAUAAAACAGAGAUUCAAAGAACGGAGUAAGCAUUUAAUGCUUAGUAAGUUUUAAGCAAGACAAAGUGUUCUCAAUCACUAUUAUUG